AAUGAUUCGGGUGAGUGAGACUCAAUGAUCCAAGAAAUGGGUUCGGGUUUGAGUUUUUGAAGCUGAGACCUCGGGCAAAUGGUGUUGGGCAUUGCUGGUGAACGGCUGAUGGUUUCUUGGAGAAGCUGAAGUACUAAAGGGAGGAAAGGUUGCUCUGAAGAUAGAGAACAGGGGUCAGAGACCCAAAGAGGUGAAGAUUGGAACCCUUGGAAGCUUAUUGUGAAGGUUAUACAGACCUCUGAAUCGGACCCCAUGGUACGCUCGGCUUUGAGUUGGAUCGAACGAGUUGAGCUUGAGUCGCCUUCCUCAGAACUCGCCAUUGUAAAGGCGAGCGGUGGA
rnacentral:lncRNA from 1 species